rnacentral:rRNA from 1 species
AACGAACGCUGGCGGCGUGCCUAACACAUGCAAGUCGAGCGUGAAAGUCCCGGCAACGGGAUGAGUAAAGCGGCGAACGGGUGAGUAACGCGUAGGUAAUCUAUCCUUCGGAUUGGGAUAACCUGCCGAAAGGUGGGCUAAUACCGGAUAAUGUUCUUGUGGAAUUCCCAUGGGAACCAAAGGGGGCGAGCGUAAGCAGCUUCCACCAAAGGAGGAGCCUGCGUCCGAUUAGCUAGUUGGUGGGGUAACGGCCUACCAAGGCGACGAUCGGUAGCCGGCCUGAGAGGGCGACCGGCCACACUGGAACUGAGACACGGUCCAGACUCCUACGGGAGGCUG